rnacentral:lncRNA from 1 species
AAUCAUCGUUUCAGAAGAAAUUUGCUUUGAUCUUUAUUUGUAUUCCUGUUAGUCCUGGUAAUAGCAGACUGAUUUGGUGCUUUCCAAGAAACUUUGGACUGUGGAUUGACAAAAUUGUACCGCGAUGGAUGUUUCAUGUGGGACAAAACUUGGUUCUAGAUUCAGAUUUAUAUCUUCUCCAUGUUGAGGUAAUUCCUUUUAUAAUUUACAAAUCACUUAUCCUGUUGGAGAACAAUGUAAAAGUUUGAUUCAUCGAUUAAUAUUAUUAUAUUAAUUUUUUAUAGGAAAAAAAAAUAUUGGAUGUUGGUCAAGAAAAUUGGCAUAAGGCCUGUUUUGUGCCAACAAAAUCAGAUGCUCUUGUGAUUGGUUUUAGAAAGUGGUUGAAGAAGUAUGCGGGUGGUCAAGUUGAUUGGAGAGGAAAAUAUAGUGGCGCUCUUCCUCCUACACCUCCUAGAGAACAGCUUUUGGACAGGUAACACUCAUAAGAUUGCAUUUGACACAUCGAAGUUUCAGUUUAGUUAUAUUUCAAAAAUAGUGGCAAGUUUCCUUUAACAUGUGAUGUUUUAUGUAUGGCUCUCGGUAUCCUCCGAUACAUGUGAAUCGUUUCUUGAUUUGACAGAAAAUUUAACCUGAUCGAUAUGAAUCUCUAGUGUGUAUAUAUUUUGAACAUGAAUCUCAUCUUAAAUUCCGGUUCUUUAUGAUGAAUCUCGAUCCUUUCUAACAAAUCACUACGUAUAACCUAGUGUGGCCAGCUCUUUGUUGUGAACUUUGUAUAGCUAGUCACUUUUCUUAUGUCGUUUGAUUUAUGUCUUGAAUUUUGAAUUAUUACGAGGUUCAUAUAUCAUAUAUCAACUUAUAAUUUUUCUGUCACUUGUUUUUACUUAAAAAAUGUCUUAGUUUUUAUUUGUAAUGGAUCUUAUGAUUCAUAAGAAGAUUUGGUUCAUGAUUAGAAAAAUAGGUCUUCUUGUUCACUAUUGGAAUAUGAUAUUGAUAACCAUGGUUUUAAGUGGAGAACUUUACUUAUGUCAAGCUUAAACCAAGAAUUCUAAAUAGACUGAUGUUACUAAAUCAUUAAUUGCAAUGCGUAUUUGUACCAUGUUCUUAAUUAAAAAUUAUCAAACUUGAACAGGUACUGGAGCCAUGUGGUGAAUUGCAAGAGUUGCAAUUUGGCAUAUAAGAGCCUCAAUGUGGUGGAAGUGGCGCUGCAGAUCAUAUCAGUUGCUGCAAUUGGGAUUGUUGCCGCAAUGAAGCAGGGUGCAGUUUCAGCUGUAACAAGAAAUUCAUUGGUUGUGCUUGCGGUACUUUCAUUUGCAAUGUCGCGGCUGUUAGCUCACUUCAUAUACAAAUACUUACGUUAUCAUGACUACAACCACGCCUUUCGCUGAAAUGUGUUUCCUUAGUUAUUGAUGUCCAAUUGUUAUAUGUGUAUAUACAUAGUGAAGUUGUACUAAACAAAGCUGGUAAUUAUUGUUACUUAAGAGGAGCUUUGGAACAUUUGUGUCGCUUAAAUAUGAGCAUGAUAACAGCAUGAAGAGAUGAGUUCAAUUAUUUGGAUUCCUGUUUGUCAAAAAAAAUAAAAUUAUUUGGAUUCCUGAAGCAAACAUGUUGCAAUAACUGUCAUGCACAUGCACAUGCACAUGAUUUCUUCACACCCACAAACUGUCAUGCUCUUUUACAAGUUAUAGCUCACAGGUAUGGGUCAACCCACGAACCCGAUCACCCAAAUCAACCCAACCACAUUGGAAUCCAACCCAAUCAAGUUUGGGGCUAACUCGAACUAAUCCAUUUAAAUCCAAUGAUGUUUGGUUUGGAUAGCUAGUUUGAUAUUGAACAUGUGAACUCGCAAACUCAAUGACCGACAAAAUUGAGUCUAAACAAUGAAUAUUGUACUCCUUGCAAAUAAAGGAAGGAAUAAUGGAGUCUCCGUGAUUUAGCUCAGUUGGUAGAGAUAUUCUAUUUUAUAUGUAGGGACCAGAGACUUUAAGGGUGAAAUUUCUAGCUGCUAAGUUAGUAACAAAAAAAAAAAGAAAAGAGGAAGGAAUAAUGGCGCAGCAAAUGGACAAUAAAUGGUGAGACCAGCAUGCCUAAAGAAGGAAUAAUGGCGCAGCAGAUGGACCUGUGGCUGUAGGGAUGAAAAUGGUUUUUCACUCUUAUAAAAAUGUGAACUUCGAGAUGCAUGAUCUCUUAUAAAAAUGCAAUUAAGUGUUGUCACUUUUUUCCGUAAGCUUUGCAGAAGGGAACAGUGGAAGCUAUGUUGGCCUUUUCUGUUCCUUCACUUCACAUCCCAGUAGCAAUUAAAACACAAACACCAUUAAAAAAAUCAAUGUUCUUGAACUCACAAUUGCAUUCAAAACAUUCAUUAAGUAAUGGGAGCACUUCAAAAUUCAAGCUUUUCACUGCCUCAUCACCUUCACCGUUAACAGAGUCCAGUAGUAACUUUCCAUGGGAUGAAUCAGAAGUUGAAGCAGAUUCAGAGAAAUUUGACUGGUACUCACAGUGGUACGCUUUGAUGCCACUUUGUGAUCUUGACAAAAGAGCACCUCAUGCUAAGAAGGUGAUGGGAAUUGAUGUUGUUAUAUGGUGGGAUAGGAAUGAAGGUGAAUGGAAAGUUUUUGAUGAUGCUUGUCCUCAUAGAUUGGCACCUUUGUCUGAAGGAAGAAUUGAUCAAUGGGGUAGGUUGCAGUGUGUGUAUCAUGGUUGGUGUUUUAAUGGAUCAGGUGAUUGUAAGUUCAUUCCUCAAGCACUUCGCGAUGGACCUCCGGUAACUACUCCCUGUUCCUUUUUAUCUGUCGCUUUUUUUGAAGGAGGGGUAUUGUUGCAAAAUGACAAAUAAUUUCAUCAAAACUAACACAAUUUAUUGUUUUCUUAGCAUGUGCAUAAAUGACUUUUAACACAACAACUAAAAAGAAAGAUAGAAUGUACUAUUAAAUCUUGACACAUACACUUUGCACACUGACGGUGAUAACAAUAUGAGAAAAACAAAUGAUUGAAUGUAACUAUAUGUGUUGGUGUCAUGUAAGUAUCAGGCAGCGACACGUGUUGAACACCAACUCGCCAGCAACUUGAAGUGUCGAUAUUACAUAGUCCAGAACACAUUUAGAUGUGUAGCUACCACCAACUUAAUUUCUUCUACUUGCAAUCCCUAUGGAAUAUAGAUGUGUUGCAUUAAACUGAUACUUCCAUUGUUUGUUUUGUUAUCUUGUAGUCCUCAUUUACUUUUGCAUAAACAAAACCGCAGAUUCAUACGUCGAAAAAAGCAUGUGUAGCUGCUUACCCAAGCACAGUGCAGAAUGACAUUUUGUGGUUUUGGCCAAAUACUGAUCCUCAGUACAAAGAUAUUAUCAAACGGAAAACACCCCCAUUCAUGCCAGAAAUUGAUGAUCCAUCAUAUACUAGAGUAAUGGUAAACAGAGAUAUUCCUUAUGGGUAAGAUUUUAAGACAAAUAAAAAAAUAUGAUAUUUCUUUUGUAGAUUGGCCUAGCUUAAUGUGAUCUGAUUUUGGAAGAUGAAAAUAGAACAUUACAUUACAUAUUUACAUUAUGCAUACCCAUGAGCAUAAUUUGCAUGUCAGACCUUAAGAAAACACAAAUAUGUUUUUAGACCUUAUAAAAUAUCUAAUUAGUCUUCGCAUUUUACAAAAAACAUCUUGUUUAUAGAAACUAAACUUAAAAGAUAUGUGAUUUUAUAUAGACUCAGAGGCGGCUUGGAGGCAUGUGCGAGGUGUGCGACGGCAUAGGGCCUCAAAAUUUCGAGGGCCUCAACUCAAAAUUUUGAGGUCCUAUAAUAUUACUUAUAGAUUAUUUAUACCUAUAAAAUAUCAGAUGUAUAUUAAUAGAUUAAUUUUUAAGCCCCAAAAUAAUAGUUANNNNNNNNNNNNNNNNNNNNNNNNNNNNNNNNNAUUUAAUCUUAGAUUAUGAUAUUCCUUUUUGACGUUAUAUACAAAGAUAAUUAUUUUGUAUUUCUUGUUCCAUUUAAUUUAAUGCAAGAUUUAAUAUUGAUAAUUUAUAUGUUUACAAGAAUGUUUUUUUAUAUUAUAUGCAAUUUAAAUCGAUAAUUUUUUUUAUUUUUUUUAUUAAGGGGCCACUUUUAUAUUUUGCACAGAGUCUCCUAAAACUCGGAGACGCCCCUGUAUAGACUACAAACAUAUUUAAUAAAAAAAAGAAGCAUGUCAUCUGAUUAGCAUCUUUUUCUAAUUAAAUUGAAUGUGUAAUUUCAGGUAUGAGGUACUAAUUGAAAACCUCAUGGACCCUGCACAUGUUCCAUAUGCACACUAUGGAGUAAUGAACACUGUACAACCAAAAGGUAUGCAUAUAUAUGAUAAAUGUUUUAACUUCAGAAAAUUCCUAUUUGUUUUUAUAUGAAAAUUACAUAAUUAAAACUUAAUUAAUUUAACAGAGAAAGAUGAUAGAGAAGGAGGAAGACCACUUGAAUUGUCAAUUGAAGAGUUAGAUGUCAACGGUUUCAGAGCAACUCGGGUUUGGAGUAAAAGCAUAUUUAUGGCACCAAGCAUCUUUUACAAUGUGUUUACAUCAAACAACACUUUAUAUGAUCCAAAUUACGCAUAUAGUGAUCCAAAUAAACCUGCAUCUUCCGUUGAAACUAAGGUAGUAGUAAGUAGUAACAAAUUGAGUAGCUAUAAUAUGAUCCUCUAUAUCACGGCGGCCAGUUUUAUAAUGGUGUUAUAUAAUAUAUUUUUUUUGCAGAAAUCAUCGUUUCAGAAGAAAAUUGCUUUGAUCUUUAUUUGCAUUCCUGUUAGUCCUGGUAAUAGCAGACUGAUUUGGUGCUCUCCAAGAAAUUUCGGACUGUGGAUUGACAAAAUUGUACCGCGAUGGAUUUUUCAUCUGAGACAAAACUUGAUUAUAGAUUCAGAUUUAUAUCUUCUACAUGUUGAGGUAAUUCCUUUUAUAAUAUACAAAUCACUUGUCGUGUUGGAAAACAAUUUAGAAGUCUUAUUCAUCAAGUAAUGUUACUAAAUUAAUUUUGAUAGGAAAAGAAAAUAAUGGAUGUUGGUCAAGAAAAUUGGCAUAAGGCCUGUUUUGUGCCAACAAAAUCAGAUGCUCUUGUGAUUGGUUUUAGGAAGUGGUUGAAGAAGUAUGCAGGUGGUCAAGUUGAUUGGAGAGGAAAAUAUAGCGGCGCUCUUCCUCCUACACCUCCUAGAGAACAACUUUUGGACCGGUAAAUCACAUAAGAUUGUGUUUGACACAUUGAAGUUUCAGUUUAGUUAUAUUUUCAUAUGUCAAGUUUCAGUUUAAGUAUGGUUAUCAGUGUUCACCAGUACAUGCAAAUCAUAUCUUGCUUUGACACAAAACUUAACCUAAUCGAUAUGAAUCUCUAGUGUGUAUUUUGAACAUGUUCUUGAUUACAAAUUAUCAAAUUUGAACAGGUACUGGAGCCAUGUGGUGAAUUGCAGAAGUUGCAGUUUGGCCUAUAAGAGCCUCAAUGUGGUGGAAGUGGCGCUGCAGAUCAUAUCAGUUGCUGCAAUUGGGAUUUUUGCCGCAAUGAAGCAGGGUGCAGUUUCAGCUGUAACAAGAAAUUCAAUGGUUCUGAUGGCGGUACUUUCAUUUGCAUUGUCGCUGUUGUUAGCUCACUUCAUAUACAAAUACUUCCGAUAUCAUGACUACGAACAUGCCUUUCACUGAAAUGUGUUUCCUUAGUUAUUGAUGUGAUGAAAUAUCCAACAUUGUUGUGUGUGUGUAGUCAAGUUGUACUAAAACAUAGCUAGUAAUUAUUGGUAUCUAACAUAUUGCUAUAAAAACUGUUAUCCUUCUGUUAUGGAACCUGUGAAGGGAUGUAUGUUGACACUUUCUUAGUGACUCAAAUUCUUAUAUUCUUUGUUGGAUGAGGGCAGUUUUAGUCCUACCAGUACCUUUACUAAAUUUUACAAUUCUUGUCCUACAAGAAAAGAUUCACGCAGUUUUAGUCCCUUCUAAAAUCAAAUUUAGAAUUUUAUAGCAUGACAUGACAUGAGAUUAAAAUAAAUAUGAAUUUUUUAAAAGUCAAAAAGUUCAACUAAAAAAUGUGUCAAAAAAAAGUUCAACUAAAAAUAAUGAAUAUCUGUACUAAAAAUCAAAUUUUGAGUUUUUUUUUUUGUGAAUAAACAUUUUUUUUUUUGACAAGAGAAAACUUAAUUCAUAUCAUUGAUCAAAAUGUUCUCAAUACAACGAAGAAUCGACUCAAAAAUAUAGUGACCAGACAUGGAAUAUGCCGCUCGUGCUAAGGCGUGGGCGGCCAUAUUCGCUUGUCGCUUUACAAAUUUAACCUCAAAGUUGGACUUUGAUAAUAAUAAAGACUUAAUGCUAGAAAUCAACAACUAAACUCAGAUAUUCCUAUUUGGCUAGAAUCAUAUUUGCCGCUUUUUCUGAAAAUAAAGAAUUUAUCUUUUCAACAUCCCAUUGUUUUGAGUUAGGAGUCAUAAGUUGUUGAAUAGAUAAAUUGUACACACCAUAGUGGAGAGAUUAAAUGCUUAUAAUAUGAACUUAAUUGAGUAGCUAUAAUAUGAUCCUCUACAUCACGGCGGCCAGUUUUAUAAUGGUGUUAUAUCAUAUAAUUUUUUUGCAGAAAUCAUCGUUUCAGAAGAAAUUUGCUUUGAUCUUUAUUUGCAUUCCUGUUAGUCCUGGUAAUAGCAGACUGAUUUUGUGCUCUCCAAGAAAUUUCGGACUGUGAAUUGACAAAAUUGUACCGCGAUGGAUGUUUCAUCUGAGACUAAACUUGAUUCUAGAUUCAGAUUUAUAUCUUCUCCAUGUUGAGGUAAUUCCAUUUAUAAUUUACGAAUCAUUGUUGGAGAACAAUGUAGAAGUUUGAUUCAUCAAUUAAUGUUACAAUAUUAAUUUUGAUAGGAAAAAAAAAAUAAUGGAUGUUGGUCAAGAAAAUUGGCAUAAGGCCUGUUUUGUGCCAACAAAAGCAGAUGCUCUUGUGAUUGGUUUUAGAAAGUGGUUGAAGAAGUAUGCAGGUGGUCAAGUUGAUUGGAGAGGAAAAUAUAGCGGCGCUCUUCCUCCUACACCUCCUAGAGAACAGCUUUUGGACAGGUAACCUAAUCGAUAUGAAUCUCAAGUGUGUAUAUAUAUUGAACAUGAAUCUCAUCUUGAAUCCCAGUUCAUUAUGAUGAAUCUCGUUUUAUUAAUGACAAGAAUUUAUUGAGGUUCAUAUAUGAUAUAUCAACUUAAACUUUUGUUAUGUA